rnacentral:rRNA from 1 species
GACGAAGGGGGCUAGCGUUGUUCGGAAUUACUGGGCGUAAAGCGUGUGUAGGUGGUUGUCCAAGUUGGAUGUGAAAGCCUUGAGCUCAACUCAAGAAGUGCAUUCAGGACUGGGCGACUAGAGGACCGGAGAGGAUAGUGGAAUUCCCAGUGUAGUGGUGAAAUACGUAGAGAUUGGGAAGAACACCAGUGGCGAAGGCGGCUAUCUGGACGGUUUCUGACACUAAGACACGAAAGCGUGGGGAGCAAACAGG